ensembl:snRNA U6 U6 spliceosomal RNA
GUGCUCACUUUGGCACGCACAUACACUAACAUUAGAAUGAUACAGAAAAGAUUAGCAUGGUUCCUGCUCAAGGAUGACACCCAAAUUCAUGAAGCAUUCCAUAUUUUU